UUCUCACAGUCUUUGCCCAGCCAUUGAUUUCAUUUAAGGCCUUCUUCACAAAAAUGACUUCACGGAGUACAGAGAUCAGAAUGCUUAGCAGAAAAUUUUGGGACGUAAAGACAGUAUAUACCAUACAUGGACUAUCCCAGGCCAGGAAAAACCUAUUAAACAUUUCCUUGGAAACAAUAUGAGGUACUUUUCUUGCACAUAUACAAAUGUAGAAGGACACUUAAUCUAUCCCCUGCUCCCUGCUCCAGGAAAGCUAUUGAAGUUAUACAUCAUCAUUUUCUUUCCUAGCUGUACCUGGGACUAGAAGCAUCAGCAGUUAUUCAUCAGCAAGAAAGAAGGACAAUUACAUUCCUUGGGACUGCCUGGACACUAUUCUCAUGGAGAGUAAUUUCUGCCUACUAAAAGAGGUAGAUUCCAAACUUAGAUGGAGUUUCACUCUUCUUGCCCAGACUGGAAUGCAGUGGCCCAGACUGGAAUGCAGUGGCACAAUCUUGGCUCACUGCAACCUCCGCCUUCUGGGUUCAAGCGAUUCUCCUGCCUCAGCGUCCUGAGUAGCUGGGAUUACAGGCAUGCACCGCCAUGCCCGGCUAAUUUUGUAUUUUUACUAGAGAUGGGGGUUUCUCCAUGUUGGUCAGGAUGGUCUCGAACUCCCAACCUGAGGUGAUUCAUCUGCCUCGGCCUCCCAAAGUGCUGGGAUUACAGGCAUGAGCCACCACACCCGGCCUUUAAGGUCACAUUUUGAGGUACUAAGGGCUAGGGCUUCAGAAACAUAUCUUUUUUAGGAGGACACAAUUAAGCCCAUAACACUAAGCCUCAAAGAUAACAGAUGAGAAACACAAUAUAGAAAAGAAGAACUUAAAUGAAAUCUCAAGUGUCAUUAUCAUGAAAUGCAUUGGCCAUGCCUGGUGUAGGACCUGAUUGUCUCCCUCCUUAUGUCCAACCUGCUACCAUGUUUCUGGGGCCAGCUCAUCUCCUUGGAUGGAAAUCUGAUCAUGCACAUUCCUUCCUUCCUGUGAUAGUUAAUUUUAUAUGUCAAAUUGACUGUGCCACUGGGUGCCCAGAUAUUUGGCCAAACAUUUUUCCAGGUGUUUCUGUAAGGAUAUUUGUGGAGAAGAUUAAUAUUUAAAUCUCAUCUUGGUAAAGCAGAUUGCCUUCCAUUAUAUGCAUGGGGCUUAUCCUAUCAAUUGAAGGCCUGAAUAGAACAAAAGCUGAUCCUUCUUUGAGUAAGAGAGAAUUCUUUUGCUUGACAAACCUUCAAACAUGGACAUCAUUUCUUCCUGGCUCUACAGUAGCUUCCAGCUUUGAGGCUCAAACUGGCACAUCAGCUCUGCAGAUUUUGUACUUCUUAGCCUUCAUAAUCAUGUGAACCAAUUCCUUAUAAUAAGUCAAUCCCUCUCUCUCUCUCUCUGUCUCUCUCUCUCUCUUUCUCUGUACUCUCUCUGUCUCUGUUUUUCUGGAAACCCUAGUAUACAGUCUAAGACCAGGUCUCACUUAAUGAAGAAAAAUCACAAACCAUAUCAGCAUCCUUUCAGGAUUACAACUUAAGAGCCCCAGAGCAAGCUCUUUAUCUUACUAGAAACAAUACUCAACUUCCCUAAUCUGAAGCCCCUAUGUCUGGGUUAUUCCUCUGGGUUUCAGUCAUAAAGAUGACUGAAAUCUGCCCCCCUAUCCCCACUGAUCUCUCUUGAGAAUAAAGCAAGAGCCUGUCCCAAAGUCAAGUCCAGCUGCUAAUCUUAGUGCAAUCAUGGAUUGGAAAAUACUGAGAUCUGAACUCAGAGCACUCUGCUACAUGCACAAAACUUUUCACAUCUUCGCAACAUUUCAAACCUUUGUGGACUUUCUCAAAUUUUCCCUAUCUAAUUUCAUUUAGGGCUUUUCAUUUCCUUCACCAAUUGUCUGGUAAUUCCUUUACUAACUGCCAGUUAGGUAAUUACCCAAAUUUCUAACUACAUCCCUUAGAGCACAGCAUUUCUAUGCUUAUCCAUGUUGAUACUUUUAAAAAUCUAGAUCUAGUUUCCAACAUGCAGACAGCCCAGGCACAGAAGCCAACCAGACAAUUCCUUUACCAACGGUUUUUUAUAGCUCAAUAAUGUAUACAUGUGACUUUGUAAAGAAUUAGCCUUGUCUACUUAAGGCUCAAUACAAAACCUUCCAAAGUUUUCACAGAUUAACCAAAUUAGUCUUGAAAAAUAUCUCCAGGUUAGAAGAGGGUAAACCACUCUCCCUGACUCUGCAGCCUCACUCUCAUCCCUACUUUGGGUUUCUGCUUUCCAGAUUCUCUUAUGUCACCACAUCACCUAUUCACCCCUCCCCCAAAGCGGUAUGAUUCUCCUUUAAAAAUUUUAAUGUGUACAAAAAUGUUUUCCCUUGGCAUAACUGAGACAGGCUGGUAUUUUCAAGAACAGCUUUACUAAACAUGAGGGAAAACAGAAAAGAAAUAAUUACAGAAAACAUACACAGUAUAAAAAUAGCCAAGUUUCCAACUGCAGGUUUCUGUUUCUAAAAAUUCCAUUUGAAGUAGGAACGCUUUACUGGGCCUCAAUCUCAUUUACCCUUAGUCAACCACAUCCCUUAAUUUUGCUGUAUCCUGUCUGGACUCCUUCUCCCCUUCCACCAACACCUCACCCUUCCCUGAGCCCUGUGAUCUUGAGCCACUAUCUCUGUUUUUUGAACCCACAUCUCCAAGAAAAAACACCCAAGAACUUACUUUUAAAACUAAACUUACUUUUUAUUCUCUUAAUUAAAAAUAUCCUGGACUCACAAAGAGCUGCCAAAUUGCUAGCUUACAAGAGAUUUUCAAGUUUUGAUGUUUAAGAUUUACUGGGUUUCAAAUAUUAGCCCUUCUCAAUACUGAAGUUAAACCAGCAUAAACCAAAGUGUAAUCUAGGAAAUGAUCCUUGGGAUAACAAAUAUUCUUUACAAAGGCAGGUAGUAUUCUAUAAUCAAAAAAAAUCUGAGGAAUUCUGGGUUAAACAAAGUUUCAUAGUUUUCUCCAUUGCAUAAUUUCUCAAACCAUUCCAUGCAGUUAACAAAUAUUUACUGAGCACCUAUAUUGUGCUAGGCACUACUGUAGGUACUGAGGAUUCCCUGGUGAAGAGCGAACAGGACAGAUAAAAUCCUUGCCCUGCCCUCAUGGAAUUUGCCUUGUAGGUGGGGUUCACCAGAAAAUAUGAACAAACAAACAAGAGCAUUUCAAAUCGUGGUAUGGACUUUGAAGACCUUAAGGGGUAAGGUUAUAAGGGUAUAACUGGAAGUGGGGAAGCCCAGGAGGCAGAGGAAACAGUGAGUCUAAAGACCUGGCAGGAAAAAGCUUGGCCUGUUGGAAGAAGAGAAAGGAGCUUCUGUGGUUGGAGCUGAAUAAUUAAGGUGGGGAGUAGAAGUGAUGAGGUAUGAUCUUAGAGAAGUAAGAUGUUGUUGGUGCAAUGGAAAGCAAUUUGGAAGGUUUUAAGCCUUGGCAUGAUUUGACUUACCAUUUGAAAAAGAAAAAUUCCUUGCAUGUUGUGUGGAGAAUGAAAUUUAGAGGCUAAGAUUACAAGUGGAAACCAGUUAGGCUCUUGCAAUAGUUCCUUUGAGAGAUGGCAGGAGUGUCAGUGCAGAUAGAGAGAAGUGAAUGGCUUCAGCACAUGUUUGAGGCGUAGUGACAACAAGACUUCCUGAUGAGUUAAUGUGAGAAAUAGAGAUCAGAGAGAAGACACUAAUGACUUUCAGCUUUGGGGCUUGAGCACUUACAUAUAUGUUGGUGGUAUUGACUGAGCCAAGAGAGACUAGGAAGCAGAGGCUUAAAGGGGUGAAGGAAAUGAAGCCUUAUCCAUGAUAAGUUCAAGAUACCUAUUUAGGUUGGUGCUAAAGUAUGGUGGUUUUUGUCAUUGAAAGUAGUGGCAUAAUACAUGUGUAAGAGGUGCUAUCAAGUAGAUAAAUUUUAUAUAUAUAUAAAACAUAAGAAAAUAAGUAAUAUAUAUGAUAAUUUAUAAUAAUAAUAUAUAUAUGAGUCUGGAGUUUAGGGGAAAGGUUUGAGAUAUAUGUUGAGAAAUCAUCAGCAUACAGAUGGCAUUUAAAGUCAUGGAACUGGGGUCGGGCGUGAUGGUGCAUGCCUGUAAUCCCAGCACUUUGGGAAGUCAAGGUGGGUGGAUUGCUAGAGGACUGGAGUUCGAGACCAGCCUGGCCAACAUGGCAAAACCCCAUCUCUACUAAAAAUACAAAAAUCAGCCAGGUGCGGUGGUGCACACCUGUAAUCCCAGCUACUCAGGAGGCUGAGGCAUGGGAAUUACUUGAACCCAGGGGGCGGAGGUUGCAGUGAGCUGAAAUUGCGCCACUACAUUCCAGCCUGGGUGACACAGUGAGACACUCUCAAAUAAGCCCAAAGAAACAAAGUCACAGAACUGGAUGAGACCACCUAGGGAGACAGCAGAAAGGAGCCAAGGCCCAAAUUUAGAAAUCUGGUACAGACAGGAACCAACAGAGGACCACUUUUAACAUGUUCGUGGGCAUUAUGACUCUAUAAGAGGUGGAAACAGAAGGCAGCAUUUCCCUAACUUUUUUGACUUUGAAACCUUUCAUCAUGUAGCAUGUCACAGGACUAGGGUUUUAAGGAAAACAUUUUGGAAAAUAUUGCUCAUACCCUUCUAGUUACACUCCAUUAUGGCAUUAUGUAUUAAUUUCUAAGGUAACACAGGCUUUCUCUCUAGGUAGAGAGGUAUUUCCAUAAAACUUCAUCUAUCCCUAAACCAAACACUGUCCGGAGGAUCCAAGCCCCAAAAUAUACCUAUAGGAAGCACACAUGUGCCAAAUGCAGUGAGCGGCAAGGAGGGCUGUCUCACCACAGCCUUGUUGAGCCCAACCUCAAAUGCUGCCAGAUUUUAGCCUUUUUUUUUUCUUCAUAUUUCUAAUAGUAUUUUGGUGGAGGAGUAAGAUUGAAGGUCUGGAGAGAGGCCCUGGGAGUAAAUUGUCCUUUUCUCUGGUGAUGUAUGUAAUAUUGUUCAGGGUACUAGCAUUUGGGUGUUUCCACCUAUAUACACUAUAUCAGAGUGUCAGAGUGUCACUUGAUGCUCUAGAAAGAAUUAAAGUUUUUUUUUCUAUUU
rnacentral:lncRNA from 1 species